UGGGGAAUUUUGGACAAUGGGCGAAAGCCUGAUCCAGCCAUGCCGCGUGAGUGAAGAAGGCCUUCGGGUUGCAAAGCUCUUUCAGGUGGAAAGAAAACGCAUAGGUUAAUACCUUGUGCGGAUGACGGUACCAUCCGAAGAAGCACCGGCUAACUACGUGCCAGCAGCCGCGGUAAUACGUAGGGUGCGAGCGUUAAUCGGAAUUAGUGGGCGUAAAGCGUGCGCAGGCGGUUAGGUAAGACAGGUGUGAAAGCCCCUGGCUCAACCGGGGAACUGCGUUGGUGACGGGAGAACUAGAGUGCGGCAGAGGGGGGUGGAAUUCCGCGUGUAGCAGUGGAAUGCGUAGAUAUGCGGAGGAACACCGAUGGCGAAGGCAGCCUCCUGGGCCAGUACUGACGCUCAUGCGCGAAAGCGUGGGGAGCGAACA
rnacentral:rRNA from 1 species